GUGAUUUUCUGAUGUCUAACCACGCACCGUUAUCCGGUGUUGGGACCCUCUGUGGCGGGUAGUUUGACUGGGGCGGUCGCCUCCUAAAGAGUAACGGAGGCGCGCGAUGGUAUGCUCAGGACGGUUGGAAACCGUCUGCAAGAGUGCAAUGGCAUAAGCAUGCCUGACUGCGAGACCGACAGGUCGAGCAGAGACGAAAGUCGGUCAUA
rnacentral:rRNA from 1 species